GUCAAGUUUCAGGGAAGGUGAGAGUCCUUACUGGCGGUAUCCGGUUGCAAUCCGGGAGCCCGCGACCCGCGCGAGCGGUGGAUAUCGGUGAGAGUCCGAAGCCAACGGUUACAGUCCGGAUGAAAGAAACGAGGC
rnacentral:ncRNA from 2 species